rnacentral:rRNA from 1 species
CCUACGGGUGGCAGCAGUGGGGAAUAUUGGGCAAUGGGCGCAAGCCUGACCCAGCAACGCCGCGUGAAGGAAGAAGGCCCUCGGGUUGUAAAAUUCUUUUAUUCGGGACGAAACAAAUGACGGUACCGAAUGAAUAAGCCACGGCUAACUACGUGCCAGCAGCCGCGGUAAUACGUAGGUGGCAAGCGUUAUCCGGAUGUACUGGGUGUAAAGGGCGUGUAGGCGGGAGAGCAAGUCAGACGUGAAAUUCCAGGGCUCAACCCUGGAACUGGGGUUGAAACUGUUCUUCUUGAGUGAUGGAGAGAAGUAUGCGGAAUGCGCGGUGUAGCGGUGAAAUGCAUAGAUAUCGCGCAGAACUCCGAUUGCGAAGGCAGCAUGCCGGCUCCACACUGACGCUGAGGCACGAAAGCGUGGGUAUCGAACAGGAUUAGAUACCCGAGUAGUC